rnacentral:rRNA from 1 species
CGCGAAACUUUACAAUGCUGGCAACAGCGAUAAGGGGACCUCGAGUGCCAGGUUACAAAUCUGGCUGUCGUGAUGCCUAAAAAGCAUUGCAUAGCAAGGGCCGGGCAAGACCGGUGCCAGCCGCCGCGGUAACACCGGCGGCUCGAGUGGUAACCGUUAUUAUUGGGUCUAAAGGGUCUGUAGCCGGCCGGAUAAGUCUCUUGGGAAAUCCAGCAGCUCAACUGUUGGGCUUUCAGGAGAUACUGUCUGGCUCGAGGCCGGGAGAGGUGAGAGGUACUUCAGGGGUAGGGGUGAAGUCUUGUAAUCCUUGAAGGACCACCAGUGGCGAAGGCGUCUCACCAGAACGGACCUGACGGCAAGGGACGAAAGCUAGGGGCACGAACCGGAUUAGAUACCCGGGUAGUCCUAGCCGUAAACGAUACUCGCUAGGUGUCGGCCACGGUGCGACCGUUGUCGGUGCCGUAGGGAAGCCGUGAAGCGAGCCACCUGGGAAGUACGGCCGCAAGGCUGAAACUUAAAGGAAUUGGCGGGGGAGCAC